UACGUAGGGUGCAAGCGUUAAUCGGAAUUACUGGGCGUAAAGCGUGCGCAGGCGGUUGUGCAAGACAGAUGUGAAAUCCCCGGGCUUAACCUGGGAAUUGCAUUUGUGACUGCACGGCUAGAGUGUGUCAGAGGGGGGUAGAAUUCCACGUGUAGCAGUGAAAUGCGUAGAUAUGUGGAGGAAUACCGAUGGCGAAGGCAGCCCCCUGGGAUAACACUGACGCUCAUGCACGAAAGCGUGGGGAG
rnacentral:rRNA from 1 species